rnacentral:rRNA from 1 species
CGGGGUGCAGCAGGCGCGAAAACUUUACAAUGCCGGCAACGGCGAUAAGGGGACCUCGAGUGCCAGGUUACAAAUCUGGCUGUCGUGAUGCCUAAAAAGCAUUGCAUAGCAAGGGCCGGGCAAGACCGGUGCCAGCCGCCGCGGUAACACCGGCGGCUCGAGUGGUAACCGUUAUUAUUGGGUCUAAAGGGUCUGUAGCCGGCCGGAUAAGUCUCUUGGGAAAUCUGGCAGCUUAACUGUCAGGCUUUCAGGAGAUACUGUCUGGCUCGAGGCCGGGAGAGGUGAGAGGUACUUCAGGGGUAGGGGUGAAAUCUUGUAAUCCUUGAAGGACCACCAGUGGCGAAGGCGUCUCACCAGAACGGACCUGACGGCAAGGGACGAAAGCUAGGGGCACGAACCGGAUUAGAUACCCGGGUAGUCCUAGCCGUAAACGAUACUCGCUAGGUGUCGGCCACGGUGCGACCGUGGUCGGUGCCGUAGGGAAGCCGUGAAGCGAGCCACCUGGGAAGUACGGCCGCAAGGCUGAAACUUAAAGGAAUUGGCGGGGGAGCAC